rnacentral:rRNA from 1 species
AUUGAACGCUGGCGGCAGGCCUAACACAUGCAAGUCGAAUGGUAACAGGAAACAUCUUGCUGUUUCGCUGACGAGCGGCGGGCGGGUGAGUAAUGUCUGGGGGACUGCAUGGGGGAGGGGGUGCACAACUGGAAACGGUAGCUAAUACCGCAUAACGUCCCAAGAACGAAGAGGGGGCCCUUGGUGCCCCUUGUCAUCAGGUGUGCGCAGAUGGGAGUAGCGAGUAGGUGGGGUAACGGCUCACCUAGGCGACGCACCCGAGCUGAGCUGAGAGGAUGACCAGCCACACUGGAACUGAGACACGGUCCAGACUCCUACGGGAGGCAGCAGUGGGGAAUAUUGCACAAUGGGCGCAAGCCUGAUGCAGCCAUGCCGCGUGUAUGAAGAAGGCCUUCGGGUUGUAAAGUACUUUCAGCGGGGAGGAAGGGAGUAAAGUUAAUACCUUUGCUCAUUGACGUUACCCGCAGAAGAAGCACCGGCUAACUCCGUG